UGGGGGAUAUUGCACAAUGGGCGAAAGCCUGAUGCAGCGACGCCGCGUGUGGGAUGAAGGCCUUCGGGUUGUAAACUUCUUUUGCCCUGAACCAGGCAUGCCUUUGGGGUGUGUUGAGUGUAGGGGUUGAUUAGCGCCGGCUAACUACGUGCCAGCAGCCGCGGUAAUACGUAGGGCGCGAGCGUUGUCCGGAAUUAUUGGGCGUAAAGGGCUUGUAGGUGGCUGGUUGCGUCUGUCGUGAAAGCUCAUGGCUUAACUGUGGGUUUGCGGUGGGUACGGGCUGGCUUGAGUGCAGUAGGGGAGGCUGGAAUUCCUGGUGUAGCGGUGGAAUGCGCAAAUAUCAGGAGGAAUACCGGUGGCGAAGGCGGGUCUCUGGGCUGUUACUGACGCUGAGGAGCGAAAGCGUGGGGAGCGAACAGG
rnacentral:rRNA from 1 species